rnacentral:rRNA from 1 species
UACGUAGGGUGCAAGCGUUAAUCGGAAUUACUGGGCGUAAAGCGUGCGCAGGCGGUUAUAUAAGACAGUUGUGAAAUCCCCCGGGCUCAACCUGGGAACUGCAUCUGUGACUGUAUAGCUAGAGUACGGUAGAGGGGGAUGGAAUUCCGCGUGUAGCAGUGAAAUGCGUAGAUAUGCGGAGGAACACCGAUGGCGAAGGCAAUCCCCUGGACCUGUACUGACGCUCAUGCACGAAAGGCGUGGGGAGCAAACGAGG